CCUUCUGAACCUCAAAGGAAAAGUUUGUUGUGUCUACUAUCUCCAAGACUGUUGUUUCCUAAAUGGUGUAAAAGGGUUAUUUCAAAGCAGAGGUGAAAAAGAAAAGAAAAUCAUAUUUAUCAAGUUGGAAUAUAUUUCUAGUUGAUAAAUGGUAGAAAAUAGACUAUCCAAGGAGUAACAGACUAUAGAAUUCUGCUAAUUUUGAGUGCUGUAGACUUAGAUUCUGGGCUCAUUUGUGAAUUUGACUAAUUCAACUGUCAAGGAAAGGCUGGGCAUGACCACAAUCCAGGCAAGGCAGGACAGAUAAUCCCUAUGGUCUUAAAGCAAAGCAGGAGCCCUGGAGGUAGCAGGUAUCCCUGAGUUCAAGUCCUGCCAUCACCACUUACUAACUCUGUGAUCUUGGAUAAUGGAAAUGAUAAGACCAAUUUUCCAUGGUAUUUUAAAUGUCCAAAGGGAUAAUGCACAUACAGAGUAUUAGUUCUCUUUCUCUGUGUCUCAGAAGGUGGUUUGGAUUCUAUCAAGUGCUCUGAAUGCUGCUCAAAUUCUCCUUCUCUGUUCCACCAAGUUCCUAUUCUACAAAGAACUUUCAGGGAGUCUCGGUAGUCAUUCAAUGCCAGCCAUGUCAUUACAAACGAAUGAAUUUCCAUUUCUCCUUUAACAUAUAACACAUAUGCUUCUUAAAUGUUCCCCUGUAUCCCAAUCAAUAGAAAUUGAAUCUCAAAUAAUACAUUGAAGGAAGCUCCUUAUUUAGAAAACUGAGAUGCAUUUCCUCUGUCUUGGAUUAACACGACUCUUUCAGACUUGCUGGUUAGCCUCUCUAAAACCACCCCUACUCCAAGGAAGGGGAAGAUGGAUCUCACUGAAGAGGUACAGUUGCAUCUUUGAACUGGCUGGUCAUUGCCUAGAUUGUGGCAACAACUCUUCAGGAUUGGAAGACGCACAAUUUGAAUAUUGGAACUUGAGGCCAAAAUCUAUUACUGUUAUAAGCUCUUAAUUCAUCCCACCCAAAGCAUCCAUCUACGCAGGAACUGUGGCGAGAAGAAGAUGGAUGAUGUUCAACAUGCAACCUAUGACUAUGCAGUGAGAAAAAACCUGUACGACAGGCUAUUGGUCUGUAAGAAGACUAUCUAUUCCAGUGGAGAAAAGCUACUUCUUUCGCCCUUGAUGUCCUUGACAGGCUUACCUGCCUUAGGUAGUAAACUUUUGAUACAGUGGAGGUAUAAGUAAUGUGAUCCCUCUUCCAGACUCAGGCAAUGGUAGGAAGGAGAAGAGAGAAAGAAGAAAGAAGUGAAGAUAAGUGAGUUCUGAGUUUCAUCUUUUCUGGCUUUCCUCCAACCUUAUCUUGGAGGCUGUACCAUGCAUUCUGAAUCUGAGGUGCCACCAUGUCAAAGCCUCAUGGUGGCAGAGAAUGUGCUGAGGGUCUCCAAGACCACUUCCAGGAUCAGUGAUUUGCUAGGAGGCCUCACAGGGCUCAGCUUGUUUUGUACUCAUGGUUAUGGUUUACUACAGUGAAAGGAUACAAAGUAAAAUCAGCAAAGGGAAAAGGGGCCUGGGAAAAAGUUUGGAGGAACCAGACCCAAGCUUCCUUGAGUCCUCUCUUGGUGGACUCUCAUUGGAUGUACUUGAUUCUCUCAGCAGUAAGGCAUCCACGUGUAAAAUGUUGUCUACCAGGAUGCUCAUUAGAAACUCAGUGCUCAGAGUUUUUACUGGGAGCUUCUCAUGAAGGUAUCCUCUUCCUGGUGGGUACCAAAUUCCAGGUUCCCAGAAGGAAAACAGGUCGUCAGCAAAAACCACAUUGUUUGCACAAAUAAUUGAGAGACAGUGAUUUAUUUUUAUUAGUUAAUAUGGUGGGAAUCCUCCCACAAUCCAAGUCCUAUACACUAGCCAUGAGAUAACUUUGUAAGCAGGCUUAAGGAUAGCAGUCGUAGGCUUGCUGUGACUCUUUUCUGCACAGACGGUAAUCAGGCAGAGAGGCUCUAGGGUAGACUUUCCUGGUAGCCUUCAAUUCUCAGGUGGCAUAGACUUUCCUGGUAGCCUUCAAUUCUCAUUGCUGUAUGAAACCACCGUGGGACUGCUGUAGAGUCUGCUGUGUGAUGGGAUUGAUUGUGCAGGACAGGCUGGGAUGGGUGGGGAUCACUGGUCCAGGUGGACAGCUCAGCAGUUAGGAUCUGCAGCCAGCAGGAGUAAGGAGAGACCAAAUUGUCCGGGGAAUACCAUCCAGAACCUUUCCGAGGGAGAAACAACGAGCGGUAAGUUCAUUAGCCACACAUAACAGCACAAAUAGGAGGCAUGAUGACCAGGACAGAAAGGGAUAUCCCCUUGGAUAUUUGGUAAAUAUACAAAGACUAGAACAAGCUCAGGGGCCCCUUUCUUUCAACAUCGAAGGAACACAUAAGAUGUCCUUCUGUUUCUAUGCACUCAGAUGCUCUCUUUGGAAGAUUAAUAGAGGAGAGGGUCGUGGCUGAACAUUAGCUAGAAGACUGUUUAGGUUAUAGAUCAUUGCUUUAAGCUAAAAUGCACACUCAAUGUAGUUUUUCUCCUACUUACCAGUGUAUAGCUAUUUGGGGAACAAAUCCAGAUUAGCGACUGAAUAAAUAAAUCACAUUUCUCCCCACAUCUGCAUUGUAAUAUGACUUAAACUCUGUGCCUUUACUGUACUAGUAAUUUUUAUUUAAUUUAUGAGAAAGGAUACUAAAGAUAUUUUCCAUUUCACUGACAUAAAGCCCUUUUCCCCUUUUAGAUAUUUGCCAAAACUGAGGACACCUUGCCACUAGGUGCUCAAUGUGCUUUAAAUUCAAAGUCCAAGAUAUAUUCAAACAUGAAGCUCUUUUAAAGCCACUAUGCAAUAGUCUUCAAAAAUGGCUGCCCACAUCCUAUACCUCCCUUACCCCUGCUAAGGUAAGGAGUGCUAAUUCUUCUAGUUCUUCUUCCUUUAAAACCGGGUUGGCCCUUGUGAUUUGCUUUGAUCAAUAGAUUGCAGCAGGAAUUCAUAGUGUACCAGUUCUGAGCUGUCUUUUUGAGGCCUGACAGCUUUCUCAUUUUCUCCUGGGAAGCCUGCUGCCAUGUAAGAAAUCCAGCCACCCCUGAGACCACCAGGCUGUGACUAUGUUCAGAUAUAUAUUUGGCAAGGCCAUGGGGAGGAGUACUGUGAAGCCCUGCCCACAGGAAGAAGCAGGGCCCCAGACCUGUGACCCCAGCGGAGCUGUCCACCAGGUUUCCAGCCAUCAGUGACAUCUCAGCUAAGACUCCAGAUUUCAUGAAGCAGAGAAACUCUUGCUAUGCAAAUUCCUGCUCUACAGAUUCACAAGUAAAUGAAAUGGCUGUUAUUUUAAAUCAUUAAAUUUUGGGGGAGUUUGUUUUGCAGCAAUAGAUAACUGAAACACAGACAUUAGCAUUUUAUUUGCUGAUAAAACUAAAAAGGCAAUCUUCUAAAAAAAACACACACACAGAUUUUCUUCAUCACCUAUAUGAAAAAGUUUUAACUUAUGCUUUUGGAGCUAGUGUAUCCUUUAAAUAGCUUAAGUUUACCAAAUCUUUAAGUCAUUUUUACAUUAAAAUGUCUUAGGGCUUUUGACAGCACAGACCAGGGAAUGUCAAAAUUUAGUGUCUGUUUUUUCAAAUAGGAAGUAGAAAAUUUAGCAUUGAUUCUGUUACUUAGAAAUCAUUACCUAUGUUAACUGUUUUGGUUAAUUGUUUACUAAUUUUUGCCUAAGAAAACAUUUUUUACUUUUCAUUACACAAUUUUUCAAAAAUAUAUGAGAUAGGACAUUAGUAUAAGGUACCCUCUUGCCACAGACCCCUCAGUCAACUUCAAUGAUCAGCAUUCUGACAUUCUUCUGAGAAAUCAGUCUUAUGAUCAUCCUUUCCAGAAGUAGACUUUCUUCCGGGAACUUUUGUCUGAACUGCAUGGCACUGAACUUUUGUCUGAAAUUGGCAGAGAACAAGGAAAAGAAUAUGAGAGGAAGGAUGAGAAAAAGAGAAAAGUCAUUCUAUUGAAAAUUUAAGAAUCUCUUUUUCCAUUCCCUUUAAUCAGAAGACUUAUUUUUCCACUUAGCACUGUAGUUAGCGAAUCAAGGAAUAUUGACUCCGAAACUGAAAUAAAGUGAUUAGCCUCAGUAAAUCCCUAGCAAUAGCUGCAGUUCAGACUUUAAUAAGUGCCUCUGAUAUAAACACUUCCGGAAACUGUUUCUCAAAGGGCAUCCUGUUGCAGAAAGGUUUAAACAAAAUUUAAACAAGAUUUUGAACAUAGAUUUACAGUAGUUUCGUGACAAAAACUAUGGCUUAAAAUGUUUUAGGAGUUGCCGUGGGUUUUCAACUGAGGACAUAGUGUGUUAUACAUUAGCUGCUUAAUGUGUUCAGUUGCUGAAUCCAAAAUUGCUUGGAAGGUUUAAACGUUGGCAGCCUUAAAAACAAACACUAGUCCACGUUCCCAGCGCCUAAAUGAAAUCAAAGCAAACCUAAUCAUUUUCUUUCAUAUGACUAAUAAAGAUGUGGAAAAACAAGCUUCAGUUUUACAUUUGAGCAGUAAUCUUCUUAAUUACAUCUGGGUCACAAAAUGCAAGGCUAUGUUUCUUCUCCAUAGUUGUAAAAUGAAAGCUGAAUAUUUAUAUAUUCCUUCUCCUGUAUCAUGUGACCACGGUGGGGCUCUAAGCAGCAGGCAGUAGGCCAAUAGGAAAUUUAAUAGAGACCCUCUUUCUCUUUCUUUAUUUGUUGGGGAUGGGCAGGGGGAGGUGGAAAUCUUUGUCAGAGUUGUAUUUGUCUUGGGAUCAGAGUUCUCUCUCAGUUUAUGAAUCUGUGGUGGGACAAAAUGAAAGUGUAGAUUAGAUGAAUGUAAGUAGGUAAAAUAGGAAUUUGCUGAUAGAAGGUUGCUCAGCAUUUUGGCAGGCCCAAUGGUCUUGGAAAGCUUUUUGUAAGGCUGAGCUGAUUUUGUUUGCAUCUAAAACAAUGUUAGACCCUGAGUGUUGAGCUGUAAGAUACCUACUUUCAUAGGUAUUUCCCAUUGAGGUAAAUUAAUUGUAUGUUACUUUUUGAAGGUUCUUUAAAAAUUUGAUUCUCUUGGACACACAGAGAGCACCAUGAAAUAUCAGCACACUUAGAUGUCAUAAGUUUCUUAAUUAUGGUUUGCAAAGGACAAAACACUAAAGGAGGAAUAUCUGAAUUAAAGUUUUGACUAACUUUUCUUUAGUGAGUCUUGUUGGUAUAUCGCUACAUAUGCUUAGAUUUUUUCAUGCAAUGGUCAAUGUCUUAGUUGCUUUAUAUGUAAACUAGAGAUAAUGAAACCUGUACUAUGUACUUGAUAUUGUUUGAAAAAAUUAAAUUACAUUAACUAGCAGCUUGAAAACAUGUUGAAAAAGUUCAAGUAGAGGAUGCAAGCCUGAUUGUGAACAUUAGUGUUAUUUAUAGAGUGCUACCUCAUGCAGAACAGAGCUUAGGAUGGGGCGUUUCAAAGAAACAUGCCAAAUCUUACUAUUAAUGUAAACAAGAUUGUAAUUCUUAAGUAAAUAAUUUGUUUCCAAGACUAGGAAGAUAUAUAAGGGUGAAAUAAAUAUAUGGAUUUUGUCAUUAUUGUUUCCUUGCUAUUAGCAUUCACUGGUAGAUCAGUAGGUAUUUGGUCUUUAUUCAAAGAAUAUAUAUGCAUUGUGUGGAAAUUUACAUGCACACAUUGAUAUUUCUGGCAACUGGUAGUCUGAUAACACUAAAUACAACAAUCUAAAGGGACAUUGUUGAUGUGAAAAGUUAGAAACAGAGUUCUGUGAAGCACUGAGCUCUACCACGGGAAAUAUAUCAC
ensembl:lncRNA